AGACAGAUGCCUUGCAUCCCUGAGGAUGGGGCACUGGUCCCCGCCUGAUCUGCCUUGUCGGCACAUGGCUCAUUCAUCUGAGCAGAGCUAGAUCCAGCAAUCAUCUGUUUCAGGUUUCAGGCAUUUGGGGUCAUGAAAGAAUCCACAGCACUAUGGGUAAAGAAAUCUUUUCUGGCUGCUCUGUUUCUACCAUCUGCUCCUUCUGUUCUGGCUACUUGGAAUUCCACCUGCUGCUUCGCUUCCUGUGUCAUUUGUCUUCAGGUCCUGCCCCAAGCCCUUCUGCGCCAUUGCCCUGCACUGCAGGACAGAUGCUGUCUCAGAGCAGGCUGCAGUUUUGCGAGCUGCAAGAUGGUCCUUGCAGGUGUCUGGCGCAUGAAUUUUCAGCUUGCCAAAUGCUUUGAGAUAGGAAGCUAAAAAUACACACGUGCGUGUGUGUGUGUGUGAUUCUUCUUUGUGAUUAUGAGCAGCAAGGAAAACGUGACAAGGGGAUAUAGGCUGCAGAUGGCUGCAUCAUCGUCACCACCAUCAUCAUCACCAUCAU